GGAGAUGUAGCUCAGUGUGGUAGAGCACUCGGCUCUGAAUCCGAGUGGCCGCUGGUUCGACCCCAGCCAUCCCCA
rnacentral:tRNA from 1 species